rnacentral:rRNA from 1 species
GUUAAGCGACUAAGCGUACACGGUGGAUGCCCUGGCAGUCAGAGGCGAUGAAGGACGUGCUAAUCUGCGAUAAGCGUCGGUAAGGUGAUAUGAACCGUUAUAACCGGCGAUUUCCGAAUGGGGAAACCCAGUGUGUUUCGACACACUAUCAUUAACUGAAUCCAUAGGUUAAUGAGGCGAACCGGGGGAACUGAAACAUCUAAGUACCCCGAGGAAAAGAAAUCAACCGAGAUUCCCCCAGUAGCGGCGAGCGAACGGGGAGGAGCCCAGAGCCUGAAUCAGUGUGUGUGUUAGUGGAAGCGUCUGGAAAGGCGCGCGAUACAGGGUGACAGCCCCGUACACAAAAAUGCACAUACUGUGAGCUCGAUGAGUAGGGCGGGACACGUGGUAUCCUGUCUGAAUAUGGGGGGACCAUCCUCCAAGGCUAAAUACUCCUGACUGACCGAUAGUGAACCAGUACCGUGAGGGAAAGGCGAAAAGAACCCCGGCGAGGGGAGUGAAAAAGAACCUGAAACCGUGUACG